UACAGAGGUCUCAAGCGUUGUUCGGAUUCAUUGGGCGUAAAGGGUGUGUAGGUGGCGCCGUAAGUCGGGUGUGAAAUUCGUAGCUUAACUCCGAAACUGCAUUCGAUACUGCGUGCUUGAGGACUGGAGAGGAGACUGGAAUUCAUGGUGUAGCAGUGAAAUGCGUAGAGAUCAUGAGGAAGACCAGUGGCGAAGGCGGGUCUCUGGACAGUUCCUGACACUGAGACGAAGGUCAGGGGAGCAAACGGG
rnacentral:rRNA from 1 species